rnacentral:rRNA from 1 species
UACGGAAGGCAGCAGUGGGGAAUAUUGCACAAUGGGCGCAAGCCUGAUGCAGCCAUGCCGCGUGUAUGAAGAAGGCCUUCGGGUUGUAAAGUACUUUCAGUCGUGAGGAAGGUGUUAAGGUUAAUAACCUUAGCAAUUGACGUUAGCGACAGAAGAAGCACCGGCUAACUCCGUGCCAGCAGCCGCGGUAAUACGGAGGGUGCGAGCGUUAAUCGGAAUUACUGGGCGUAAAGGGCACGCAGGCGGUUAAUUAAGUUGGAUGUGAAGUCCCCGGGCUUAACCUGGGAAUGGCAUUCAAGACUGGUUAGCUAGAGUCUUGUAGAGGGGGUAGAAUUCCAUGUGUAGCGGUGAAAUGCGUAGAGAUGUGGAGGAAUCCGGUGGCGAAGGCGGCCCCUGGCAAAGACUGACGCUCAUGUGCGAAAGCGUGGGGAGCAAACAGGGAUUAGAUACC